UUGCAAUUUGAAUUCAUUUUUCUUAUUCGGUGAAUUCAUCUAAAUCAAUCAAAGUGUGGCUGUUUGUAAUAUAGUUAAGCGCAUUGACUGGCCCAUGUAGAGACCUCUAAGUCGAGAUACUAUGUGAUUUUGUGGAGCAGCGUGCAGAAUCGCCGCCUGUCUAAUCAAUUACUAAGAUACGCGCGGCGGCGGCUGCUUGGGCCACGGAUCGUUGAAUGCAACCUGCUGCCGUGGUGAAAGAAAGAGAGCUCAGGCUGUGCUAGCUGGCCGUGGAGCAGGGCAGGUGUGAGAGUGUUAAGUGGAGCAGCCACAUGGAGACGUCAAGAGCUCUAUUCACAUCGGUUAUGGAUGUCGACGGGCUGUUGCUGUUGCUGUGGCAAUGCCUUAAUAGAUUGCUCAUUGCGCAGCGAAAAUAAUUUGCAGCCAACGUAGACGGUAACAUGUGCAUUUCAAGAGUCCUAGAAGACAUUUUCAAAGGAUUUGGCAAAUCGAAAUCAAAUUAUAACUAUUAAACGGGUAUAAAAUCCUGCGACAUCCGCGGACAAUAAAUAAAAAUGUAAAUGUGUA